UGACAGGACUGAUUUGCACACAUUCCUGAUAACUGUCAUAGCCUCUAAACUCAUGUAUUAAGUAGGGAUGGAGUGUAAUAAGCACUACUGCCAAGGCUGCCUUUUCCAGCUAAGUUUUCUGAUGAUUUCUGGGAGAGGCAGUAACAUGAAUAAAUGAAGACCUUUUUCUAUCCCAUCCACAGUUAGGCAGAAGACUAAGACUGAGCAGGUACAUUCUGGAUGGUCUUGUGUUCUGUACUGGGUCCAUUCUGCAGUGGGUCUCAUUUCAUUAAAAAGGUGACAGCAUUGACGUCAGCUUGAUGUACAGACUUGUAACCAUGCUGAACAUUUUAUAUUCCUUUGCUCUCCUUGGUCUCUUCCUGUUUCUUCUGUAUCAAAGCUAUAGGAAGAAAAUUGUAAAGAAGAGAUGGAGACCCAAUGGAGGAAAUAAAUGCUUCCUUAAGAAAGAAACAAAGAAAUACACAAACCUGUAAUAAAAAGGAAGGAUUCAUGUUGGUUGAAGUAAUGCUUGGACUCCAGCAAGCAAUGAAAAC
rnacentral:lncRNA from 1 species